rnacentral:rRNA from 1 species
CUUGCUCUUUUAAAUUUAGUGGCGCACCGGGUGAGUAAUAUAUAGAUAAUCUGCCCCUUGUUGGAGGACAACAGUUAGAAAUGAACUGCUAAUACUCCAUACUCCUUUUUACCAUAAGAUAAAUCGGGAAAGAAUUUCGGCAAGGGAUGAGACUAUAUCGUAUCAGCUAGUCGGUGGGGUAACGGCCUACCGAGCUCUAUGACGCGUAACUGGUCUGAGAGGAUGAUCAGUCACAUUGGAACUGAGACACGGUCCAAACUCCUACGGGAGGCAGCAGUAGGGAAUAUUGCGCAAUGGGGGACUACCCUGACGCAGCAACGCCGCGUGGAGGAUGACACUUUUCGGAGAGUAAACUCCUUUUGUUAGUGAAGAAUAAUGAAGGACCUAACGAAUAAGCCCC